CUCUUUAUUUAUAAAGAGAGUAGACUAUAUCUUAGACUUAGAAAGCCCAUUAACUUAUAGUCGUUGAACUGCAUCUAUUAAAUUAUAAUAGACUUGGCUGCAUGAUUAUCCAAAUAAUAAGAUUUUUACAUUUGUACUUAUUAUCUCAGAAUCUUUCUGCAAUUUGUUAAUGUUACCAUACAAUAUGUAUGAUUAGCAUAUAAAAUGCUUUUGAACCCACAACGUUUAGGUUCACCG
rnacentral:ncRNA from 1 species